ACCUGGCUAGCUCAAUUGGCAGGGCAUGAGACAAUCUCAGGAUCAUGGGUUCAAGCCCCAUGCUGGGCA
rnacentral:tRNA from 1 species